AUUGAACGCUGGCGGCAGGCCUAACACAUGCAAGUCGAACGAGUGGCGGACGUGUGAGUAAUGUCUGGGAAACUGCCUGAUGGAGGGGGAUAACUACUGGAAACGGUAGCUAAUACCGCAUACCAUCGGAUGUGCCCAGAUGGGAUUAGCUAGUAGGUGGGGUAAAGGUUCACCUAGGCGACGAUCCCUAGCUGGUCUGAGAGGAUGACGUGGCACACUUGAAAUGAGACACGGUGCAGGCGCGUUCGGGAGUGAGUAGGGGGGAAUAUUGCACAACGGGCGCUAGCCAGAUGCAGGCAUGCCGCGUGUAUGAAGAAGGCCUUCGGGUUGUAAAGUACUUUCGGCGGGGAGGCGUUACCCUCAGAAGAAGAACCGGGUAAUGCCGUGCCAGCAGCCGCGGUAAUAC
rnacentral:rRNA from 1 species